AACGAACGCUGGCGGCAUGCCUAACACAUGCAAGUCGAACGAGACCGUCGGGUCUAGGUGCGCACGGGUGCGUAACGCGGGGGAACCAACCCGUAGGUUAGGAAUAACUCCCCGAGGGGGGUGCUAAGACCGGUUGAGCUCUUCGGACCAAGGAGUUAUCGCCGUUGGAUGGGCCCGGGUUGGAUUAGCUGGUUGGUAGGGUAAAAGCCUACCAAGGCGACGAUCCAUAGCUGGUGGGAGAGGAGGAUCAGCGACACUGGGACUGAGACACGGCCCAGACGGGUACGGGCGGUAGCAGAGAGUACACUUGGACAGGAGGCGAAAGGCUGCAACAGCACGGGCGGGUGAGUGGUGAAGGGCUUGGAGUUCUCAUGCGCUUUUGACCGGGAUGAUAAUGACAGUACGGGGAGAAUAAGCCCGGGCUAACACCGU
rnacentral:rRNA from 1 species